GCCGAAACGGGAGUGCCAAGCGGGCGGGCUUUUUCAAUUAAGGGGCCCCAAACGUAGGCCAUCGCCCACACCCUGAGAUUGAGAGUCUCUGGCUCCAUCGACUGAGAUGCCUGGGCUACUGCUUCAGAUCCUUUGCGUGCAACACCCCAAUACGUGAGCCUUGCAACGUCUCCAGCUCGUACUGACGCUGCCUUUCCUUUAUCGGCUUGCGCUCGGACCAUUUAGCUUCGGGGGUAUCUAAUUUCACGUUGGAGGACCUAUCUAUUGGCUGCUUCGCGGCGACGUGGAACUCGACUCCUCCAAUUGCGUCGUGCUCCUUUUCGCGUUUCCCGGCCGACAUUUAGGGCAUUUAGGGAGAAUGACCCCGGCCAGCCCGCACUUGUAGCAGAACAGGUUACGCACGGCCGACUCACACUCAAAAUAGGUGUGACCCGGCUGAGCGCAAUUCCAGCACUUCAGCUGGGUGCGGUCGCCUCCGGAUUCCCUCGUCCUAUGGACAGCAUCCAAUGCCUCGGUCUGUUCCUCCGGGUCGU